CAUCUGAAAUCAAGCAGGAUCACCCGCUGAACUUAAGCAUAUCACUAAGCGGAGGAAAAGAAAUUAACUAAGAUUGCCUCAGUAACGGCGAGUGAAGCGGCAAGAGCCCAAAAUGUAAAUCUUCGCACUGCGUGCGACGAAUUGUAAUCUAAAGAUGGUUCGCUCAACUGGUGGUGGCGCAGAAGUGACUUAGAACGGUCCGCCAGAGAGGGUGACAGCCCCGUAUGUGGUGCCGCCGCCAAACGAGCGGGUUAUCAAAGAGUCGGGUUGUUUUGUAUUGCAGCCCUAAGUGGGAGAUAAACUUCUUCUAAGGCUAAAUAUAUAUGGGAAACCGAUAGCGAACAAGUACUGUGAAGGAAAGAUGAAAAGAACUUUGAAAAGAGAGUCAAAAGACUUGAAAUCGUUGAGAAGGAAGCGGUAGAAAUUUUAUUCUUCGGCGGAGGACGGUGGGGGCUGCCUAACCAUUGCUGGUCGUGCGUACUGCAAAGGCGCUGGCUGGUACUUGGGGAAGCGGCCGUUUUGCCCUCCGUCGUGAGGCAAGAUGGGGUCGUGUUCCCGCA
rnacentral:rRNA from 1 species